UCCCGUAUCUGGCGUGUGCGAGCGCGUUGUACGUUUCCCUGAGAGUCGGGUUGCUCGGGAUUGCAGCCUUAAUGGGAGGUAAAUUUCUCUCAAAGCUAAAUACUGGCGAGAGACCGAUAGCGAACAAGUACCGUGAGGGAAAGAUGCAAAGAACUUUGAAAAGAGAGUUAAAAAGUACCUGAACUUGUUGGGGGGGAAGCGUUUGCGUCCAGUGUGCCGUGAUCGAUUCAGCCCUCUUGAGGGUGCACUUUGGUCUCGGCGGUCAGGGUGGGUUUGGCGUGGCGUUGACGGUCCCCCGGAGGCCUUCGGGCAAUGGGGUGGCUUUGCGUCGCUCCGGACCGAGGCUCGCUCGCAUCGCGCGUCGGUGGAUCCCGUUUGGGUCUGACAAGUAACUUGUCUUCUCAUCGGGUGAAUCCUUCAGUGCGUGGUUAGCGUGACCCUGUCGAAAUGGUCGCAACCGACCCGUCUAGAAACACGGACCAAGGAGUCUGACGACUGCGCGAGUCUUCGGGUGGCAACCCCGCGGGCGCAAUGAAAGUGACUUGGUGUUCAUCACCGACCGACCGUGAUCUUUUGUGAAUGGUUUGAGUACGAGCGUAGUCGCCGGGACCCGAAAGAUGGUGAACUAUGCCUGAGUAGGGUGAAGCCUGAAGAAAUUCAGGUGGAGGCUCGUAGCGAUACUGACGUGCAAAUCGUUCGUCGAACUUGGGUAUAGGGGCGAAAGACUAAUCGAACCAUCUAGUAGCUGGUUCCCUCCGAAGUUUCCCUCAGGAUAGCUGGAGCUCGUUUUAAUUCAGUUUUGU
rnacentral:rRNA from 1 species